GUGCCAGCAGCCGCGGUAAUACGGAGGGGGUUAGCGUUGUUCGGAAUUACUGGGCGUAAAGCGCUCGUAGGCGGUUCAACAAGUCGGUCGUGAAAGUUCAGGGCUCAACCCUGAAAUGUCGAUCGAUACUGUUGUGACUAGGAUACGGUAGAGGUGAGUGGAAUUCCGAGUGUAGCGGUGAAAUGCGUAGAUAUUCGGAGGAACACCAAUUGCGAAGGCAGCUCACUGGGCCGCUAUCGACGCUGAGGAGCGAAAGCUAGGGAAGCAAACAGGAUUAGAUA
rnacentral:rRNA from 1 species